UCUAACGACGCUGGCGGCGUGCUUAACACAUGCAAAGUCGAGCGAGGCCCUCCUUCGGGGGGGGUCCCUAGCGGCGAACGGGUGAGUAACACGUGGGCCAACCUGCCCUUCAGCUCUGGGAUAACUCCAAGAAAAUUGGUGCUAAUACCGGAUGUGACCGCUGACCCGCAUGGUCUGGUGGUGGAAAGAUUCAUCGGCUGAGGAUGGGCCCGCGGCCCUAUCAGCUUGUUGGUGGGGUAAUGGCCCACCAAGGGCGACGACGGGUAGCCGGCCUGAGAGGGUGACCGGCCACACUGGGACUGAGACACGGCCCAGACUCCUACGGGAGGCAGCAGUGGGGAAUAUUGCGCAAUGGGCGAAAGCCUGACGCAGCGACGCCGCGUGAGGGAUGACGGCCUUCGGGUUGUAAACCUCUUUCAGUAGGGACGAAGCGAAAGUGACGGUACCUACAGAAGAAGCACCGGCCAACUACGUGCCAGCAGCCGCGGUAAUACGUAGGGUGCAAGCGUUGUCCGGAAUUAUUGGGCGUAAAGAGCUCGUAGGCGGUCUGUCACGUCGGCUGUGAAAACCCGAGGCUCAACCUCGGGCCUGCAGUCGAUACGGGCAAACUAGAGUACUGCAGGGGAGACUGGAAUUCCUGGUGUAGCGGUGAAAUGCGCAGAUAUCAGGAGGAACACCGGUGGCGAAGGCGGGUCUCUGGGCAGUAACUGACGCUGAGGAGCGAAAGCGUGGGGAGCGAACAGGAUUAGAUACCCUGGUAGUCCACGCCGUAAACGUUGGGCGCUAGGUGUGGGGGCCAUUCCACGGUCUCCGUGCCGCAGCUAACGCAUUAAGCGCCCCGCCUGGGGAGUACGGCCGCAAGGCUAAAACUCAAAGGAAUUGACGGGGGCCCGCACAAGCGGCGGAGCAUGUUGCUUAAUUCGAUGCAACGCGAAGAACCUUACCUAGGCUUGACAUGCACGGAAAUCUCGUAGAGAUACGGGGUGCCUUUGGCGUCGUGCACAGGUGGUGCAUGGUUGUCGUCAGCUCGUGUCGUGAGAUGUUGGGUUAAGUCCCGCAACGAGCGCAACCCUCGUCCUAUGUUGCCAGCACGUCAUGGUGGGGACUCAUAGGAGACUGCCGGGGUCAACUCGGAGGAAGGUGGGGAUGACGUCAAAUCAUCAUGCCCCUUAUGUCUAGGGCUGCAAACAUGCUACAAUGGCCGGUACAAAGGGCUGCGAUACCGCGAGGUGGAGCGAAUCCCAAAAAGCCGGUCUCAGUUCGGAUUGGGGUCUGCAACUCGACCCCAUGAAGUUGGAGUCGCUAGUAAUCGCAGAUCAGCAACGCUGCGGUGAAUACGUUCCCGGGCCUUGUACACACCGCCCGUCACGUCACGAAAGUCGGUAACGCCCGAAGCCGGUGGCCAACCCUUGUGGAGGGAGCCGUCGAAGGCGGGAUCGGCGAUUGGGACGAAUCGAA
rnacentral:rRNA from 1 species